rnacentral:misc_RNA from 1 species
UCCGGUUUGUCACCGGCAGUUUCUUUAGAGUGCCCAACUAAAUGAUGGCAACUAAAGACGUGGGUUGCGCUCGUUGCGGGACUUAACCCAACAUCUCACGACACGAGCUGACGACAGCCAUGCACCACCUGUGAUGGUGUCCCGAAGGAAAACCGUGUUUCCACGGCGGUCACCAACAUGUCAAGCCCAGGUAAGGUUCUUCGCGUUGCGUCGAAUUAAACCACAUGCUCCGCUGCUUGUGCGGGCCCCCGUCAAUUCCUUUGAGUUUCACCCUUGCGGGCGUACUCCCCAGGUGGAUUACUUAACGCUUUCGCUAGGACGCGGACUGUGUAUCGCCCACAUCGAGUAAUCAUCGUUUACAGCGUGGACUAC